rnacentral:rRNA from 1 species
GAUGAACGCUGGCGGCGUGCCUAAUACAUGCAAGUCGAGCGAACGGACGAGAAGCUUGCUUCUCUGAUGUUAGCGGCGGACGGGUGAGUAACACGUGGAUAACCUACCUAUAAGACUGGGAUAACUUCGGGAAACCGGAGCUAAUACCGGAUAAUAUUUUGAACCGCAUGGUUCAAAAGUGAAAGACGGUCUUGCUGUCACUUAUAGAUGGAUCCGCGCUGCAUUAGCUAGUUGGUAAGGUAACGGCUUACCAAGGCAACGAUGCAUAGCCGACCUGAGAGGGUGAUCGGCCACACGGGAACUGAGACACGGUCCAGACUCCUGCGGGAGGCAGCAGUAGGAAAUCUUCCGCAAUGGGCGAAAGCCUGACGGAGCAACGCCGCGUGAGUGAUGAAGGUCUUCGGAUCGUAAAACUCUGUUAUUAGGGAAGAACAUAUGUGUAAGUAACUGUGCACAUCUUGACGGUACCUAAUCAGAAAGCCACGGCUAACUACGUG